CCGCUGAAUUUAAGCAUAUAAGUAAGCGGUGGAAAAUGAACCAAAUGGGAUUCCUUAAGUAAUUGCGAGUUUACAAGGAACUGCUCAGCUUGAAAAUUGGGGCCUUCGGCCUUGAAUUGUAAUUUUGAAAUGUAUUGCCAAUGGAGGCGCAGGUGCAAGCCUAUUGAAAGAAAGCGUCAAUGAGGGUGAGAUUCCUUUUUGUCAUUUGCAGUCCUCCGUGCACGGUAUAUAUUUGACGAGUCACACUCCUUGGCAUUGGAAUGCAAAGUGGGUGGUAAAUUCCAUGUAAAGGAAAAUAUAUUAUUGAGACUGAUAGCAAACAAGUACCAUGAGGGAAAUAUGAAAAGUACUUUGAAAAGAGAAUUAAAAGAGUCUGCAUUUGCUGAACAGAAAGCAAACAGAAUUGAUCUACUUGGUGAGAUUGUUGCGUCCACUUGUGGGCGCAAUGGUUCUUGCCUUGAAUGUCAGCGUCUACUUCUGCAAAUUAUUACCCUUGCAUAUGAAUGGUAAUUUGCCUGUGGGCAUUGGAAUGCAUGUGUUUGCAAUGAUUUGUGAUUUGAUACAUGUGUCUGGUGUUCGUGUGUGUGCCUUCUUGCCAACAAGGGGAGGGCUCUCCUCCCUGGGCACUGCAAGCCCUUGCACAUUGUUGCUGGCAAAAUGUUU
rnacentral:rRNA from 1 species